rnacentral:rRNA from 1 species
GCCAGAGCCAUGUCUCUGCAGUUCUCGCCUGGUUUCCCACCGAAGUUAAGCAGGGUUGAGCCUGGCCAGUACCUGGAUGGGAGACCUCCUCGGGAAAACGAAGGUUGUUGCUGGCA